rnacentral:rRNA from 1 species
GAUGAACGCUGGCGGCGUGCCUAAUACAUGCAAGUCGAGCGAACAGAUGAGGAGCUUGCUCCUCUGACGUUAGCGGCGGACGGGUGAGUAACACGUGGAUAACCUACCUAUAAGACUGGGAUAACUUCGGGAAACCGGAGCUAAUACCGGAUAAUAUAUUGAACCGCAUGGUUCAAUAGUGAAAGACGGUUUUGCUGUCACUUAUAGAUGGAUCCGCGCCGCAUUAGCUAGUUGGUAAGGUAACGGCUUACCAAGGCAACGAUGCGUAGGCGACCCGAGAGGGUGAUCGGCCACACUGGAACUGAGACACGGUCCAGACUCCUACGGGAGGCAGCAGUAGGGAAUCUUCCGCAAUGGGCGAAAGCCUGACGGAGCAACGCCGCGUGAGUGAUGAAGGUCUUCGGAUCGUAAAACUCUGUUAUUAGGGAAGAACAAAUGUGUAAGUAACUAUGCACGUCUUGACGGUACCUAAUCAGAAAGCCACGGCUAACUACGUG